GAUGAACGCUGGCGGCGUGCCUAAUACAUGCAAGUCGAGCGAACGGACGAGAAGCUUGCUUCUCUGAUGUUAGCGGCGGACGGGUGAGUAACACGUGGAUAACCUACCUAUAAGACUGGGAUAACUUCGGGAAACCGGAGCUAAUACCGGAUAAUAUUUUGAACCGCAUGGUUCAAAAGUGAAAGACGGUCUUGCUGUCACUUAUAGAUGGAUCCGCGCUGCAUUAGCUAGUUGGUAAGGUAACGGCUUACCAAGGCAACGAUGCAUAGCCGACCUGAGAGGGUGAUCGGCCACACGGGAACGGAGACACGGUCCAGACUCCUACGGGAGGCAGCAGUAGGGAAUCUUCCGCAAUGGGCGAAAGCCUGACGGAGCAACGCCGCGUGAGUGAUGAAGGUCUUCGGAUCGUAAAACUCUGUUAUUAGGGAAGAACAGAUGUGUAAGUAACUGUGCACAUCUUGACGGUACCUAAUCAGAAAGCCACGGCUAACUACGUG
rnacentral:rRNA from 1 species